UGAGGCGCGCCGAGUUUGAUCCUGGCUCAGAAUGAACGCUGGCGGCGUGCUUAACACAUGCAAGUCGAACGGUAACAGGAGGAAGCUUGCUUCCUUGCUGACGAGUGGCGCACGGGUGAGUAAUGCAUAGGUAACGUGCCCCUUAGUCUGGGAUAGCCACUGGAAACGGUGAAUAAUACCGGAUACUCCUUCUCACUUAAUGUGAGUCGGGAAAGUUUUUCGCUAAGGGAUCGGCCUAUGUCCUAUCAGGUAGUUGGUGAGGUAAGAGCUCACCAAGCCUAUGACGGGUAGCGGGUCUGAGAGGAUGAUCCGCCACACUGGUACUGAGACACGGACCAGACUCCUACGGGAGGCAGCAGUGGGGAAUAUUGCACAAUGGACGCAAGUCU
rnacentral:rRNA from 1 species